UUACAUUAUCACAGUAAUAUAUAAGAUAGACUUGUUGAUCUGUAAAUCUUUAACAUUCUAAACUUUCAUCUUGUAUACUGGAACAAGAUUAUAUGCCAGCCUGCAUCCUUAAUUUAUCAGAUGAUGGCUAACCUGUAUGUUUAAACUUUAUAUAUCAGGCUUUUCAUCUUGUAUACUUGAAGAGAUUAUAUACCAGCCUGCAAAUUCUAAAUGUAUUAGAUGAUGGCCAACUUCAGUAUCCUUUACUUAAUAGGUGUAUGUCAGCCUGAUGAAAAUAGCAAACAGGAAGUUUUCAAGAGAUUGUUACCUCAAAUCUGAAGUGGUUCAAUGCAAAACACGAGCUUCAUUCAAUGCUGGCCCUGCAUGGUAUUCACAAAGUGCCUUUAUUAGAUGAAAACUUAAUGGGAAUAAAUUUACCUGAUGUUUAGGUAAUGUUUGAUGCUUCCAAUUGUGGAUAUUUUGAAAAAAAGGUGAAAAUGAAGGAAGGACAUCAACACUCACGAACUUUUUUAUUCAUUGAUUAUAAAAUUGAGGAUAGUCAAAUAUAAUUUUAAAAUAUGAAAUGUAUGAAAGGCAAAGAGAGAGUCAGCUAGGUUUUGUGAAGAUUGAAUUUGUUCAUUUUAAAGCUCACUGCUUAUCUUCAAUGUUUGAUUAAAAAUGUUUUUUUUUUCUUCAAAAUUCAUUAUGUUAAAAUGUGAGAUAGUUAGAAUAUUCAUUUGUAAAGAUUUAUCCUGUUUCAACCUUAAAGCUCAUAAUAUUGUUUCCAUUUUUACGAGCUGUUUGACUAUAGACGGUCACUGCUAUUUUUUGUUUGUUUGUAUUUAUGGUUUAAACAAGAUUAAUCUAAGAGGAA